UUCCGGAUUAUUGGGCGUAAGAGCUCGUAGGCGGUUUGUCGCGUCUGCCGUGAAAGUCCGGGGCUCAACUCCGGAUCUGCGGUGGGUACGGGCAGACUAGAGUGAUGUAGGGGAGACUGGAAUUCCUGGUGUAGCGGUGAAAUGCGCAGAUAUCAGGAGGAACACCGAUGGCGAAGGCAGGUCUCUGGGCAUUAACUGACGCUGAGGAGCGAAAGCAUGGGGAGCGAACAGGAUUAGAUACCCUGGUAGUCCAUGCCGUAAACGUUGGGCACUAGGUGUGGGGGACAUUCCACGUUUUCCGCGCCGUAGCUAACGCAUUAAGUGCCCCGCCUGGGGAGUACGGCCGCAAGGCUAAAACUCAAAGGAAUUGACGGGGGCCCGCACAAGCGGCGGAGCAUGCGGAUUAAUUCGAUGCAACGCGAAGAACCUUACCAAGGCUUGACAUGGACCGGACCGCCGCAGAAAUGUGGUUUCCCCUUUGGGGUCGGUUCACAGGUGGUGCAUGGUUGUCGUCAGCUCGUGUCGUGAGAUGUUGGGUUAAGUCCCGCAACGAGCGCAACCCUCGUUCUAUGUUGCCAGCGCGUUAUGGCGGGGACUCAUAGGAGACUGCCGGGGUCAACUCGGAGGAAGGUGGGGACGACGUCAAAUCAUCAUGCCCCUUAUGUCUUGGGCUUCACGCAUGCUACAAUGGCCGGUACAAAGGGUUGCGAUACUGUGAGGUGGAGCUAAUCCCAAAAAGCCGGUCUCAGUUCGGAUUGGGGGUCUGCAACUCGACCCCCAUGAA
rnacentral:rRNA from 1 species